rnacentral:rRNA from 1 species
CAGCCGCCACGGGAAUACGGAGGGGGCUAGCGUUGUUCGGAAUUACUGGGCGUAAAGCGCACGUAGGCUGCUUUGUAAGUCAGAGGUGAAAGCCCGGGGCUCAACCCCGGAUGUGCCUUUGAGACUGCAGGGCUAGAACGUCGGAGAGGUGAGUGGAAUUCCGAGUGUAGAGGUGAAAUUCGUAGAUAUUCGGAAGAACACCAGUGGCGAAGGCGGCUCACUGGACGACUGUUGACGCUGAGGUGCGAAAGCGUGGGGAGCAAACAGGAUUAGAUACCCCCGUAGUCCCUGUCUCUUAUAC